GACGUAGGGGGCGAGCGUUGUCCGGAUUUAUUGGGCGUAAAGCGCGCGUAGGCGGCUGCGCAAGUCGGUUGUGAAACCCCGGGGCUCAACCCCGGAACUGCAUCCGAUACUGCGUGGCUAGAGGUAGGUAGGGGAGAUCGGAAUUCCUGGUGUAGCGGUGAAAUUCGUAGAUAUUCGGAGGAACACCAGUGGCGAAGGCGGCUCACUGGCUCGGUACUGACGCUGAGGUGCGAAAGCGUGGGGAGCAAACAGG
rnacentral:rRNA from 1 species